rnacentral:rRNA from 1 species
UACGAAGGGUGCAAACGUUGCUCGGAAUUAUUGGGCGUAAAGAGCUCGUAGGCGGUUUGUCGCGUCUGCUGUGAAAACCCGAGGCUCAACCUCGGGCCUGCAGUGGGUACGGGCAGACUAGAGUGUGGUAGGGGAGACUGGAAUUCCUGGUGUAGCGGUGAAAUGCGCAGAUAUCAGGAGGAACACCGAUGGCGAAGGCAGGUCUCUGGGCCACUACUGACGCUGAGAAGCGAAAGCAUGGGGAGCGAACAGG